CGGUGGAGCAUGUGGUUUAAUUCGAAGCAACGCGAAGAACCUUACCAGGUCUUGACAUCCCGAUGCUAUUUCUAGAGAUAGAAAGUUACUUCGGUACAUCGGUGACAGGUGGUGCAUGGUUGUCGUCAGCUCGUGUCGUGAGAUGUUGGGUUAAGUCCCGCAACGAGCGCAACCCCUAUUGUUAGUUGCCAUCAUUCAGUUUAGGGCACUCUAGCGAGACUGCCGGUAAUAAACCGGAGGAAGUGGGGAUGACGUCAAAUCAUCAUGCCCCUUAUGACCUGGGCUACACACGUGCUACAAUGGUUGGUACAACGAGUUGCGAGUCGGUGACGGCGAGCUAAUCUCUUAAAGCCAAUCUCAGUUCGGAUUGUAGGCUGCAACUCGCCUACAUGAAGUCGGAAUCGCUAGUAAUCGCGGAUCAGCACGCCGCGGUGAAUACGUUCCCGGGCCUU
rnacentral:rRNA from 1 species